CCUGACUGCUAUCGGAUUGAUACUAAGCCAUGCGAGUCAUUGUAGCAAUACAAGGCAGACGGCUCAGUAACGCGUAGUCAAUCUACCCUAUGGACGGGAAUAACCUCGGGAAACUGAGAAUGAUGCCCGAUAGAACAUUAUGCCUGGAAUGGUUUAUGUUUCAAAUGAUUUAUCGCCAUAGGAUGGGACUGCGGCCUAUCAGUUUGUUGGUGAGGUAAUGGCCCACCAAGACUAUUACAGGUACGGGCUCUGAGAGGAGUAGCCCGGAGAUGGGUACUGAGACACGGACCCAGGCCCUAUGGGGCGCAGCAGGCGAGAAAACUUUGCAAUGUGCGAAAGCACGACAAGGUUAAUCCGAGUGGUUUCUGCUAAAGAAACCUUUUGUCAGUCCUAGAGACACUAACGAAUAAGGGGUGGGCAAGUUCUGGUGUCAGCCGCCGCGGUAAAACCAGCACCUCAAGUGGUCAGGAUGAUUAUUGGGCCUAAAGCAUCCGUAGCUCGUUUUGUAAGUUUUCGGUUAAAUCCAUGCGCUUAACGUAUGGGCUGCCGGGAAUACUGCAUAACUAGGAGGUGGGAGAGGUAGACGGUACUCGGGAGGAAGGGGUAAAAUCCUUUGAUCUCUUGAUGACCACCUGUGGCGAAGGCGGUCUACCAGAACACGUUCGACGGUGAGGGAUGAAAGCUGGGGGAGCAAACCGGAUUAGAUACCCGGGUAGUCCCAGCUGUAAACUAUGCAAACUCAGUGAUGCAUUGGCUUAUGGCCAAUGCAGUGCUGCAGGGAAGCCGUUAAGUUUGCCGCCUGGGAAGUACGUACGCAAGUAUGAAACUUAAAGGAAAUUGGCGGGGGAGCACCACAAGGGGGUGAAGCCUGCGGUUCAAUNGGAUUCACGCCCGAAA
rnacentral:rRNA from 1 species